rnacentral:rRNA from 1 species
CAGCAGCCACGGUAAUACGUAGGGUGCAAGCGUUAAUCGGAAUUACUGGGCGUAAAGCGUGCGCAGGCGGUUAUAUAAGACAGAUGUGAAAUCCCCGGGCUCAACCUGGGAACUGCAGUGGAUACUGGGCAACUAGAGUAAGGUAGAGGAUAGUGGAAUUUCCGGUGUAGCAGUGAAAUGCGUAGAGAUCGGAAGGAACAUCUGUGGCGAAGGCGACUAUCUGGGCCAUUACUGACACUGAGGCACGAAAGCGUGGGGAGCAAACAGGAUUAGAUACCCCCGUAGUCCCUGUCUCUUAUAC